AGUGAACGCUGGCGGUAGGCCUAACACAUGCAAGUCGAACGGCAGCACAGUAAGCGCUUGCUCUUACGGGUGGCGAGUGGCGGACGGGUGAGGCAUACAUCGGAAUCUACUUUUUCGUGGGGGAUAACGUAGGGCCACUUACGCUACUACCUCAUACGACCUACGGGUGAAAUCAGGGGAUCUUCGGACCUUUCGCGAUUGUAUUAGCCGAUGUCGGAUUAGCUAGUUGGCGUGGUAAAGGCCCACCAAGGCGACGAUCCGUAGCUGGUCUGAGAGGAUGAUCAGCCACACUGGAACUGAGACACGGUCCAGACUCCUACGGGAGGCAGCAGUGGGGAAUAUUGGACAAUGGGCGAAAGCCUGAUCCAGCCAUACCGCGUGGGUGAAGAAGGCCUUCGGGUUGUAAAGCUCUGUUGUUGGGAAAGAAAAGAAGCAGGUGAAUACCCCGCUGUUCUGACGGUACCCAAAGAAUAAGCACCGGCUAACUUCGUG
rnacentral:rRNA from 1 species